GGGGGGGAAUAAGCUGCACCGGCAUUGCCCCAGUAACGGCGAGUGAAGCGGCAACAGCUCAAAUUUGAAAUCUGGCCCCAGGCCCGAGUUGUAAUUUGCAGAGGAUGCUUUUGGCGCGGUGCCUUCCGAGUUCCCUGGAACGGGACGCCAUAGAGGGUGAGAGCCCCGUACGGUUGGACACCAAGCCUUUGUAAAGCUCCUUCGACGAGUCGAGUAGUUUGGGAAUGCUGCUCAAAAUGGGAGGUAUAUUUCUUCUAAAGCUAAAUAUUGGCCAGAGACCGAUAGCGCACAAGUAGAGUGAUCGAAAGAUGAAAAGCACUUUGAAAAGAGGGUUAAACAGCACGUGAAAUUGUUAAAAGGGAAGCGCUUGUGACCAGACUUGCGCCCGGUGAAUCACCCAGCUCUCGCGGCUGGGGCACUUUGCCGGCACAGGCCAGCAUCAGCUCGCCGUCGGGGACAAAAGUAGGGGGAACGUAGCUCCCUUCGGGGAGUGUUAUAGCCCCCUACAUAAUACCCUUCGGCGGGCUGAGGUACGCGCUCCGCAAGGAUGCUGGCGUAAUGGUCACCAGCGACCCGUCUUGAAACACGGACCAAGGAGUCAACCUUAUGUGCGAGUGUUUGGGUGUCAAACCCCUACGCGUAAUGAAAGUGAACGCAGGUGAGAGCUUCGGCGCAUCAUCGACCGAUCCUGAUGUUCUCGGAUGGAUUUGAGUAAGAGCAUAUAGGGUUGGACCCGAAAGAAGGUGAACUAUGCGUGUAUAGGGUGAAGCCAGAGGAAACUCUGGUGGAGGCUCGCAGCGGUUCUGACGUGCAAAUCGAUCGUCAAAUAUGCGCAUGGGGGCGAAAGACUAAUCGAACCUUCUAGUAGCUGGUUUCCGCCGAAGUUUCCCUCAGGAUAGCAGUGUUGAACUCAGUUUUAUGAGGUAAAGCGAAUGAUUAGGGACUCGGGGGCGCUAUAUUGCCUUCAUCCAUUCCCAAACUUUAAAUAUGUAAGAAGCCCUUGUUACUUAAUUGAACGUGGGCAUUCGAAGGAUCAACCCUAGGGGGCCAUUUUUGGUAAGCAAAACUGGCAAUGCGGAAGAACCGAACCCAGGUUAGGUGCCAAAUAUUCGCUCUCAAAACCCCAAAAGGGGUUGUAAUUUUGACGCGGACCGGGGCCAGGAAAGCGAAUCCCCAAGGAGGGGUAACCUCCCCGCCAAUGUCAACCCCAAAAGGUGGGGCUCCACACACCCCCACCCCCCCCCG
rnacentral:rRNA from 1 species